UGCCAGCCGCCGCGGUAAUACGGAGGAUGCAGGCGUUAUCCGGAUUUAUUAGGUUUAAAGGGUGCGCAGGCGGCCCGGUAAGUCAGUGGUGAAAGUUUGCAGCUUAACUGUAAAAUUGCCAUUGAAACUGAGAACCUUGAAUACAAUUGAGGUAGGCGGAAUGAGUAGUGUAGCGGUGAAAUGCUUAGAUAUUACUCAGAACACCAAUUGCGAAGGCAGCUUACUAAAUUGUUAUUGACGCUGAUGCACGAAAGCGUGGGGAGCGAACAGGAUUAGAUA
rnacentral:rRNA from 1 species